GGCUGGUUUAUCACCUUGCAGAGGGAUUCCCUGUCUCAAGGGAAAGAUGUCUACUUCUGGAUUCUCAUUUUCAAUCUCACAAUUCCAAGACUAUUGGAGAGAAAACGAAAGCUUUCCCUUCCUAAAUGUGUGUAUCAUCUGAACAGAAGCCAACUUUUCUCAGCAACAGGAAAUACCUUCAGACACCGACAAAUGCGCCCUGGGAACAAAACUGCCACCUGUGAAGAAAUACUGGUCUAGAGAACGCUGUGGUCUCUUAGGGAGCAACCCAUUAGUAACCAUCGUCGUGGUCGUGAUGAAGUGACAUGUCCAAUCAGCUCAGGUCUAUUUCCUUGGGUAUACGCCCACAGUAUCGGGUCACUAUUUGCUCAUGGUAGGCGUGUCUAGUU